CCUACGGGUGACAGCAGUGAGGAAUAUUGGUCAAUGGGCGAGAGCCUGAACCAGCCAAGUCGCGUGAGGGAGUACUGCCCUAUGGGUUGUAAACCUCUUUUGUCGGGGAGCAAAAGCCGGACGUGUCCGGCUGUGAGAGUACCCGAAGAAAAAGCAUCGGCUAACUCCGUGCCAUCAGCCGCGGUAAUACGGAGGAUGCGAGCGUUAUCCGGAUUUAUUGGGUUUAACGGGUGCGCAGGCGGAUUUUUAAGUCAGCGGUAAAAUCGUGGGGCUCAACCCCAUCCAGCCGUUGAAACUGGGGAUCUAGAGUGUGCGAGAAGUAUGCGGAAUGCGUGGGGUAGCGGUGAAAUGCAUAGAUAUCACGCAGAACUCCGAUUGCGAAGGCAGCAUACCGGCGCCCAACUGACGCUGAAGCACGAAAGCGUGGGUAUCGAACAGGAUUAGAUACCCGUGUAGUC
rnacentral:rRNA from 1 species